CGCACAUUGCGCCCUCUGGUAUUCCGGGGGGCAUGCCCGUUCGAGCGUCAUUACACCUCUCAAGCCUCGCUUGGUAUUGGAGGAAGUGGUCGAAAGACUGCCCCUCUUGAAAACUCCGGCCUAUUCAGUUCACACUCUGGCGUUGUGCAAACAAAUCCGCCUCAGGUACGUGUUCUUGAGUUAGACUGCCGUUAAGCAUUUUUACUUAAAGGUUGACCUCGGAUCGGGUAGGAAUACCCGCUGAACUUAA
rnacentral:misc_RNA from 1 species